rnacentral:misc_RNA from 2 species
CAACCCUCAGGGCCCGUUCGCGGGACCUGGUGUUGGGGAUCGGCCCCACCGGCCGGCCCCGAAAUACAGUGGCGGCACACCCGCGACCUCCUCUGCGUAGUAGCAAUGCCUCGCAGCUGGAUAGCGGUUGCGCCUCGCCGUAAAACCCCCCACUUCUCAAA